rnacentral:misc_RNA from 1 species
AAGUCGUAACAAGGUUUCCGUAGGUGAACCUGCGGAAGGAUCAUUAGUGAUUUAACCAAAAUGGAAUAUGUUUUCUAUACAUUUUUUUAAUAGAAUUGUGUAUAGAAAACAUAAACCAAACAACCAUUUGUGAACAUGAAAAAACAAUCUUUCUUUUUUUUUUUGCUUUUAUUAGCAAAAAGAAAAAAGAAAAAAAACUAAGAGUUAAUCUUAUUUCAUAAUACAUUGUCUAAGCUUAUUUCAUAGACUUUAUAAUCUAUUAAAACAACUAUUAACAAUGGAUCCCUUGGCUCUUA